rnacentral:rRNA from 1 species
AUGUUCGUUGCACGGGAUGCAAAUGCUAUCCUAAGUAUGCCUCGGCCAAGCUCCGAUGUUGAAGAUUUUUGGGCAUGGGAGGCUGAGAAAAAUGGAGUGUUCUCAGUUAAGUCUGCUUAUAGACUGCUGAUGGAUCACAAACUUGCUCAGUUGAAUGAGCCAAGUACGUCCCAGUAUGGGGAGGCGAGUUGGAAGGCUCUGUGGAGUCUGCGGGUUCAGCCCAAAAUCCGAGUCUUCUGGUGGAGGGCCAUGAAAAUUUUUCUGCCAUCUUCGGCGGAGCUUCAUCGAAGACAUGUGGGAGAAUCUGGUCAUUGCCCUAUGUGUGGCAAUUCAGAAGAAACAUUAUUUCACGCACUAACGGAAUGUGAUCAUGCAUUGCUUUUUUGGAAGGAAGCUGGGAACUUCUUCAAUGUGAAGCUGCCUCGGCUAUAUCCCUUGACAUGGAGGCAAGAUCUGCUGGACCCUGCUUUUCUGAAGAAGGACCAUGCUACGGUUAUUAUUUCAGUGAUGUGGGCAAUCUGGAGCAAUAGAAACAAGUACACGCAUGGUGAAGCUCAGUACCAGCCGCUUAAAUUAAUGGAGUUAAUACAUGAGCUAAUUACUUCACUUGAUAUCCCACGAGGAGAGCCAGCUGGACGGAAUGUGACCAAGGAGUUGUGGAAAGCACCUAUGCAGGGCUGGGUUAAACUCAACUGCGAUGGCGCGACUAACCAGGCGACUGGAGAUACGGGGACUGGAGUGGUGGCUCGGGAUGAUCGGGGGUCCUUAUUUGCGAGAUGCUCUAAAUACACAGCAAAGGAGGAUCCUUUUAUAGCCGAAAUCCUAGCUUGCCGGGAUGCAGUGAAGCUAGCUAUGGAUAGAUUAUUAUCUCAUGUGAUCGUGGAGACGGAUUGUCGGUCCAUUUAUACUAUGUGGACUCAAGGAGAUGACAGGUCUGUAGGAGGCCAAGUUUUUAGAAAGAUGCGUACUUAUCUCUCAUCCUUUCAGGGAUUUGAUCUAGUUUUUGUGCAUUGGGAGGCCAACUCUGUGGCUCACCAAUGUGCUAGGCAUUCGCUCUCUUUACACAACUCUUGUAUUAUGGACGUAAUCCCUGAUUUCCUGAUUGAGCAUGUUCAAUCAGAGAUGAUCCACUUGAAUGAAUAA